UGCCAGCCGCCGCGGUAAUACGUACUGUGCGAACGUUAUUCGGAAUCACUGGGCUUAAAGGGUGCGUAGGCGGUCUGAUAAGUAGGAUGUGAAAUCCCCCGGCUUAACCGGGGAACUGCGUUCUAAACUGUCAGGCUUGAGUGAGAUAGGGGUGUGCGGAACUUCCGGUGGAGCGGUGAAAUGUGUUGAGAUCGGAAGGAACACCAGUAGCGAAGGCGGCACACUGGGUCUUAACUGACGCUGAGGCACGAAAGCCAGGGUAGCGAACGGGAUUAGAUA
rnacentral:rRNA from 1 species